AUUGAACGUUGGCGGCAUGCCUUACACAUGCAAGUCGAACGGCAGCACGGGUGCUUGCACCUGGUGGCGAGUGGCGAACGGGUGAGUAAUAUAUCGGAACGUACCUUAUUGUGGGGGAUAACGCAGCGAAAGCUGUGCUAAUACCGCAUAAUCCCUAAGGGGGAAAGCGGGGGACCGUAAGGCCUCGCGCAAUUAGAGCGGCCGAUACCUGAUUAGCUAGUUGGUGAGGUAAAGGCUCACCAAGGCAACGAUCAGUAGCUGGUCUGAGAGGACGAUCAGCCACACUGGGACUGAGACACGGCCCAGACUCCUACGGGAGGCAGCAGUGGGGAAUUUUGGACAAUGGGGGCAACCCUGAUCCAGCAAUGCCGCGUGAGUGAAGAGGGCCUUCGGGUUGUAAAGCUCUUUUGUCAGGGAAGAAACAGCAGCUCUAACACAGUAUGCGAAUGACGGUACCUGAAGAAUAAGCACCGGCUAACUACGUGCCAGCCGCCGCCGUAA
rnacentral:rRNA from 1 species